GAUGAACGCUGGCGAGAUGCCUUACACAUGCAAGUCGUACGGGGAUUUUUAAUUCAAGUGGCGGACGGGUGAGUAACACGUAAGAAUUUGCCUUUAGGAGGGGGACAACAACUGGAAACGGUUGCUAAUACCCCAUAUGCUUUCGAGUGAAAUGGAUUUUUCCGCCUAAAGAGAAGCUUGCGGCUGAUUAGCUUGUUGGUGAGGUAAUGGCUCACCAAGGCGACGAUCAGUAUCUGGUUUGAGAGGAUGAUCAGACACACUGGAACUGAGACACGGUCCAGACUCCUACGGGAGGCAGCAGUGGGGAAUUUUCCGCAAUGGGCGAAAGCCUGACGGAGCAAUCUCGCGUGGGGGAUGACGGCCUAUGGGUUGUAAACCUCUUUUUUCUAGGGAGGAAUAAAAUGACGUGUACCUGAAGAAUAAGCAUCGGCUAACUCCGUG
rnacentral:rRNA from 1 species